UACGUAGGGGGGCGAGCGUUUGUCCGGAAUCAUUGGGCGUAAAGAGCGUGUAGGCGGCUUGGCAAGUCUGACGUGAAAGCCCGCGGCUCAACCGCGGAUUGUCGUUGGAAACUGCCUCGCUAGAGUCCGGAAGAGGAGAGCGGAAUUCCUGGUGUAGCGGUGGAAUGCGCAGAUAUCAGGAAGAACACCCGUGGCGAAGGCGGCUCUCUGGGACGGUACUGACGCUGAGACGCGAAAGCGUGGGGAGCGAACAGG
rnacentral:rRNA from 1 species